ensembl:snoRNA SNORD31 Small nucleolar RNA SNORD31
GCCGGUAGACAUGAUGACUUGUUUUACCGCCCCAGUCUGAAAAGUCAUGACUGAUUGGUAUUUCCUUCUGAUCCGUC